rnacentral:lncRNA from 1 species
CAUAGUCCAGCCCCCACCCCACCCCUUUUUCUCUUUUCUUAUACUGUUAUUCCGUAGAGUUGAGAGCCAAAGCGUCCACACGCCGGUGUGGCGCCUGCCUCGUCGGAGCAUGCUCAGUA